UACGGAGGGUGCAAGCGUUGUCCGGAUUUAUUGGGUUUAAAGGGUGCGUAGGCGGCUUUUUAAGUCAGUGGUGAAAGACAACAGCUCAACUGUUGCAGUGCCAUUGAUACUGAAGAGCUUGAGUACAGAUGAGGUAGGCGGAAUUUAUGGUGUAGCGGUGAAAAUGCAUAGAUACCAUAAAGAACACCUAUUGCGAAGGCAGCUUACUAGCUGUAACUGACGCUGAGGGCACGAAAAGUGUGGGGGAUCAAAACAGGGAU
rnacentral:rRNA from 1 species